CGGGAAACCGGAGCUAAUACCGGAUAAUAUAUUGAACCGCAUGGUUCAAUAGUGAAGGACGGUUUUGCUGUCACUUAUAGAUGGAUCCGCGCCGCAUUAGCUAGUUGGUAAGGUAACGGCUUACCAAGGCAACGAUGCGUAGCCGACCUGAGAGGGUGAUCGGCCACACUGGAACUGAGACACGGUCCAGACUCCUACGGGAGGCAGCAGCG
rnacentral:rRNA from 1 species